rnacentral:rRNA from 1 species
ACGGGAGGCAGCAGUGGGGAAUAUUGCACAAUGGGCGCAAGCCUGAUGCAGCGAUGCCGCGUGAGGGAAGAAGGUUUUCGGAUUGUAAACCUCUGUCAACAGGGACGAAAAUGACGGUACCUGUGAAGGAAGCUCCGGCUAACUACGUGCCAGCAGCCGCGGUAAUACGUAGGUGACAAGCGUUAUCCGGAUUUACUGGGUGUAAAGGGCGUGUAGGCGGUUUGGCAAGUCAGAAGUGAAAUUCCCGGGCUUAACUUGGGCGCUGCUUCUGAAACUGCUUAACUUGAGUACUGGAGAGGAUAGUGGAAUUCCUAGUGUAGCGGUAAAAUGCGCAGAUAUUAGGAGGAACACCGGUGGCGAAGGCGGCUAUCUGGACAGUAACUGACGCUGAGGCGCGAAAGCACGGGGAGCAAACAGGAUUAGAUACCCUGGUA